UCCCCUUGAGGCGCGUCUCCUCCGCCUUGAGUUUCUCCUCCUCGCGCAUCUCGUGGUCCGACUCCAGGGCGUCGAAGACGGCGGCGCCCACCAGCAGCCCGUGUGCCUUCUGUGGGUUCUUGUCUUUGCGUUUCCGUGCUGGCCUGGGCCACGCACACAUGUGGAGACAACAAGCAUCCUUGUUCCGUUCCUGCCUUAGAGUGCUUACAACAUCUCAACACUGAGAAGAAUGUUUGCCGUCCAGCCUCGACCCGAAUGCAAACAGCUCAACGUGACGUCACGGGGCUCACUCCCUCGAUGGGCAGCCCCUCUCCCCGGAGCCGCUGUGCGGAAAGCGCCUGAUACUGCCCCUCGCUACCUGGUCAAUGAGCAGAGUCUAAGGGAACAGUGAGGGCGCGUGGCCAGCUUCCCGGGGGACAGUGGUCAGGCGCGUGGCCGGGAGGACAAGGAGGCGUGGGAGGGCAGGCGGGGCCCAGCGUUAGCUAGUGAGGACUUGCUAUCACGUGUGGGCACGUCAAGGGGAUGUAGGCCAACCACUAGCGCACAUGCCCACGAGGUAGUGCUCUUACUGCCAUCACGCAGAUGACAGCAAUGCGGCUUCCUGUCAGUGACGGUGUGAGGUCCCAGAGCCGGCCAGGGGCGGGGCUGGGCUUCCGCGCCUCAGGCACCUUCUGGAUCCCCGCUCUGCUGGGUGAAUUCUAGGCGACAGUGUGACGGCUGGGUGACUGCGGGC